GAGUCCUGAUUUUUAAACUAUACGGUGUUACAAUGUGCAUCUGCGUAAGCCUGAGAUCAUAUUGAAAUCCUGCCCAGAAUAUGGAGCUUCAAAGAAGACUAGAUCCAUAUAAAGAAACAGAAACUCAAAGAAGUAACCAGGUCUGUAAACCCCGCACUUUGAGAGGCUGAGGCAGAAGGGAUUGUUUGAAGCCAGGAGAUUGAGACCAGCCUGCACAAUAUAAGGAGACCUUGUCUCUGCAAAAAAUUUAAAAAACAAAAGAAACUCAAAGAGGCCUCUCCUUCCUGACUCAGCCUUGGUUUACCACUGAGAUUUGCCAUAUACCAUACAGAAGAACAAAAACGUUACCAAUUAUUGGCAGGUUUUUUUUGUUUUUUUGUUUUUUUUUUAACCAAACGUCAAGUUGGUGAUGAAGUUAUCUGGAAAUGUCAACCAAACCCAGAAGACUACACAAGACUACAGGAGAAGGCACUCUGGGGGAAGAAAAGGGUGCUAGCUCCUGCUCUGGCCAGAUUCCCUCUGAGCGACUUGUGGAGUCUUACUGGGGGAUUCAACUCUUCUUCACCUCAAUCAGCAGUAAAGCCUACACAGACACUGGGAGCAUGACGGCAAGAGAAGGCCACCCACCUCUCUACACCCCUAGAUGACACACUACAGGAUCCCAGUGGAGUAUACAGAAAAUUCCAAGGAGACCAGGGGCCAGGGGUUCUCGGUGGAACCAUGGCAGGGAAAGUAUCAGAGACAGAAAUAUGAGACUCUGGGUAGUGAUAAAAUAAAUUGUUUUA
rnacentral:lncRNA from 1 species